rnacentral:misc_RNA from 1 species
AAUCCUCAAAACCCCUCUUCUUUGAGGAUUUUUGGACUUGGAGGUUUAAUGCUCGCUUUCGUGUUCGAAAGCGAGCUCCUCUCAAAAGAAUCAGUGGGGUCUGCUUUGCCGGUCCUUGACGUGAUAAGAUGUUUCUACGUUUUGGAUUUGGCAUCGUCCCUGCUCCUAAUCGUCCCAUGGACGACGGAUGGUGCUUCGGUCACCGCCUACCUACGUUGGCGGAAGGCUGGACCCACGAAACGAA